UAAACUUUACAUGUAUUCACGAAUUUUGGAGAUGGAAAAAAAUUCAUCACAAUAUAGGAAGGAAUUCUGUUUGUUCUGCUGUUACUUCUGUAUGAUGAAUUCAUUUGCUGUUGAUGAUUGAGAGGAGAAUUUAUAGCAUGUAUAAGAUUUCACACCACAUUUGGCUCUAUUGACCUUGCUUUCCCCCUUUAUUCUGUGAAAUGUGAAAUUUGUAAAUCAUGUUGAUGUUGAACCAGAACAGGACAUAGGCAUAACCCUCCCUUAACUGGAAGGACCUCCGCCUUCAACAACCUGCCAAUUAACUGUGAGCCUAUCCCUGCCCUUCUACUUUGUGGUGUUAAAAGUUUCUUGUUCAGUUAUUUAUCAGCACCCAUAGGAUCUAAAUUUAACAUGGCCCUUUUUAUUUGGGUCGAGGGUCACAGGUCAUCUUGGGUUAAAAAUCUUAGGAGCAAAGAAUUAAGGAAGAUUGGAUAUGGCAACUAGACGUGUUUGUAUGAAAAUAUGGAAGUUUAGAUUGAUUUAUGUGCUUGUAUAGAAUUUCUGCAAAUUGCUGCUUAGAAAGAAGUAGCCAUGCCCCUGUGUUUGUCAUCCACUAUUUUGAAUGAUUUUAUUUCAUAAUACUAAGUCUUGUAUAUGAAUUAAUAAUUUAUGUAUUUGAAAUGAUAAUUUAUAUCUACAUUUCUCUAA